rnacentral:rRNA from 1 species
AGACUGGGAUAACUUCGGGAAACCGGAGCUAAUACCGGAUAAUAUAUUGAACCGCAUGGUUCAAUAGUGAAAGACGGUUUUGCUGUCACUUAUAGAUGGAUCCGCGCCGCAUUAGCUAGUUGGUAAGGUAACGGCUUACCAAGGCAACGAUGCGUAGCCGACCUGAGAGGGUGAUCGGCCACACUGGAACUGAGACACGGUCCAGACUCCUACGGGAGGCAGCAGUAGGGAAUCUUCCGCAAUGGGCGAAAGCUUGACGGAGCAACGCCGCGUGAGUGAUGAAGGUCUUCGGAUCGUAAAACUCUGUUAUUAGGGAAGAACAAAUGUGUAAGUAACUAUGCACGUCUUGACGGUACCUAAUCAGAAAGCCACGGCUAACUACGUGCCAGCAGCCGCGGUAAUACGUAGGUGGCAAGCGUUAUCCGGAAUUAUUGGGCGUAAAGCGCGCGUAGGCGGUUUUUUAAGUCUGAUGUGAAAGCCCACGGCUCAACCGUGGAGGGUCAUUGGAAACUGGAAAACUUGAGUGCAGAAGAGGAAAGUGGAAUUCCAUGUGUAGCGGUGAAAUGCGCAGAGAUAUGGAGGAACACCAGUGGCGAAGGCGACUUUCUGGUCUGUAACUGACGCUGAUGUGCGAAAGCGUGGGGAUCAAACAGGAUUAGAUACCCUGGUAGUCCACGCCGUAAACGAUGAGUGCUAAGUGUUAGGGGGUUUCCGCCCCUUAGUGCUGCAGCUAACGCAUUAAGCACUCCGCCUGGGGAGUACGACCGCAAGGUUGAAACUCAAAGGAAUUGACGGGGACCCGCACAAGCGGUGGAGCAUGUGGUUUAAUUCGAUGCAACGCGAAGAACCUUA